AUCCUGGCUUAGAACGAACGCUGGCGGCGUGCUUAACACAUGCAAGUCGAACGCGAAAGGGACUUCGGUCCUGAGUAAAGUGGCGCACGGGUGAGUAACGCGUAGAUAACCUGUCUUCAUGUCUGGAAUAAUACGCCGAAAGGGGUACUAAUACCGGAUAUUCUUGCUUUUCAUAAGUUAUGCAAGCAAAGGUGGCCUCUGCAUAUGCUACUGCAUGAAGAGGGGUCUGCGUACCAUUAGCUAGUAGGUGGGGUAAUGGCCUACCUAGGCGACGAUGGUUAGCGGGUCUGAGAGGAUGAUCCGCCACACUGGCACUGGAACACGGGCCAGACUCCUACGGGAGGCAGCAGUGAGGAAUAUUGCGCAAUGGGGGAAACCCUGACGCAGCGACGCCGCGUGAAGUGAGGAAGGCCUUCGGGUCGUAAAGCUCUGUCAAGAGGAAAGAAGUGUACAAUGGCUAAUACCUGUUGUAUUUGACGGUACCUCUAAAGGAAGCACCGGCUAACUCCGUGCCAGCCGCUGC
rnacentral:rRNA from 1 species